rnacentral:rRNA from 1 species
CCUACGGGAGGCAGCAGUGAGGAAUAUUGGUCAAUGGCCGCAGGGCUGAACCAGCCAAGUCGCGUGAGGGAUGACGGUCCUAUGGAUUGUAAACCUCUUUUGUCAGGGAGCAAAGGGCGCCACGUGUGGCGCUUUGCGAGUACCCGAAGAAAAAGCAUCGGCUAACUCCGUGCCAGCAGCCGCGGUAAUACGGAGGAUGCGAGCGUUAUCCGGAUUUAUUGGGUUUAAAGGGUGCGCAGGCGGAAUGUCAAGUCAGCGGUAAAAUUUCGGGGCUCAACCCCGUCGUGCCGUUGAAACUGGCGUUCUUGAGUGAGCGAGAAGUAUGCGGAAUGCGUGGUGUAGCGGUGAAAUGCAUAGAUAUCACGCAGAACUCCGAUUGCGAAGGCAGCAUACCGGCGCUCAACUGACGCUCAUGCACGAAAGCGUGGGUAUCGAACAGGAUUAGAUACCCCGGUAGUC